AAUGGAAUGACCGACCUUGUUCAGUCCGAAGUCGGACUCUAUGUCAAAUUGGAAUUCCUGCCUGCGGUGACCCAGGUGAACCUUUGCAUGGUAAUCGUUUACCAGACGAUAGAACAACUUACUCUGUCGAUGCUACUCUUCAUUUCACCUGUCAGGAGGGCUAUACAUUAUCGGGAGAAAGCGUUUUAAGGUGUAUGAAUAAUGGAGCAUGGCAUCAUCAAAGACCAUCGUGUGAAGGUAAAGUGAUUGUUUUGUCAAUA